rnacentral:lncRNA from 1 species
CCGCCACCACCCAAUGCCUUCUCCACACCAGAAACCCACCAAAAUCAAACCAAAACUCCACUCCCUUUUACCACUUAUGAACCACCAUGGCUCCACAGUGAACCGGUGAGCUCAAGGCUCACACAACCGAACAAAAACCCCCCUUUCUUCCCUCUCCGUUUCACUGCUCCGAACUCCGAGCUCACACCAUCACUGACCGGAGAAGAACACCAAACAGCCAGCAAACUCCAAACUCGCCUGAAACCAGCAACCAUCACCCACUUUCCAGCCAGCAAAGAAGAUCCAAGACGCCGCUAGACCCCUUCCCCUUUUCCCUUUUUCGAUUUUCUAUUUCUUUUGCAGGCCAACCUUCUCCGAACAACUCCGGCAAACGAGCAACAAACAACUCCAAAACGGUGACAAACCGGCGAGCUCAAGCUUCUAAAGCUCCAUCUCCGUCAAUCUCCGACAACUAGGCGCUACCGUGGCCUCCUCCUUUUGCCCGUUUGGUAUAUUUUCAGCCUUUAUUAUUAUUAAUUUGUGGAUAAAUGUAUAUAUAAAUGUUUGCUUUUAAAGUUUGCUAGGCUGAUAUUGUUUGAUUAUUUAUUUUUAUUUUGGGUGUAGUUUUGUUAAUGAUGAAUUUUGUUAUUGUUUUGCUUUUUUUUUGAGGAAGAAUCUGUUCUAUUUUUGACGGUGUGUUUGAUUAUUUUUAUUCAUUUCGCUAUUAUUAUUAUUAGUAGUAUUAUUAUUAUUAUUAUUAUGUGUUUGGAUUCUAUUAUUUAGUGUUAUUUUAUUGUCAUUUAUUAUUGGUUGUUUUUAAUUUUGUGUUUGGGAUUAAUUACGUUCAGUCUACUGUUAGUUAAUUGUUUUCCUCAUUAUUAUUGUUAUUAACUUUAUUCACAUUUUGGUAUUCUUCACUUUACUGGUCAACUAGUUAUAUUGACGUGUGCUUAUUGCUAUUUAGUUAUUGUUUUGAUGUUUUGUUAUUUUUUAAAUGGUCAUAGUUUUAAAAUGUUGUAUUUGUCUUAUAUCAUUUCUUGUUGGUUUCAUAUGAGUUUAGGAUAUAUUUUGCAAGUUUAAAUUGACCAAUGAAAAAAUCUCUCCGUCGAUUUUGGAGGCCUCCACAUUAUAAAAGAUGGAAAUUUAGUUUAAGUUUAUAUAUUUUGCAAGUUAAAAUGAUCAAUGAGAAAAUAUCUCCGUCAAUUUUGGAGGCCUUUACAUUGUAAAAGACGGAAAAUUAGUUUUAGUUCAUAUAUUUUGUUUGUUUAAAAUGGCCAAUGAAAAAAUCUCUCCGUCGAUUUUGGAGGCCUCCACAUUAUAAAAGAUGGAAAUUUAGUUUAAGUUUAUAUAUUUUGCAAGUUAAAAUGAUCAAUGAGAAAAUAUCUCCGUCAAUUUUGGAGGCCUUUACAUUGUAAAAGACGGAAAGUUAGUUUUAGUUCAUAUAUUUUGUUUGUUUAAAAUGGCCAAUGAAAAAAUCUCUCCGUCGAUUUUGGAGGCCUCCACAUUAUAAAAGAUGGAAAUUUAGUUUAAGUUUAUAUAUUUUGCAAGUUAAAAUGAUCAAUGAGAAAAUAUCUCCGUCAAUUUUGGAGGCCUUUACAUUGUAAAAGACGGAAAGUUAGUUUUAGUUCAUAUAUUUUGUUUGUUUAAAAUGGCCAAUGAAAAAAUCUCUACGUCGGUUUUCGAGGUCUUCCCAUUAUUAAAGACGGAAAUUUAGUUUAAGUUUAUAUAUUUUGCAAGUUAAAAUGAUCAAUGAGAAAAUAUCUCCGUCAAUUUUGGAGGCCUUUACAUUGUAAAAGACGGAAAGUUAGUUUUAGUUCAUAUAUUUUGUUUGUUUAAAAUGGCCAAUGAAAAAAUCUCUACGUCGGUUUUCGAGGUCUUCCCAUUAUUAAAGACGGAAAUUUAGUUUAAGUUUAUAUAUUUUGCAAGUUAAAAUGAUCAAUGAGAAAAUAUCUCCGUCAAUUUUGGAGGCCUUUACAUUGUAAAAGACGGAAAGUUAGUUUUAGUUCAUAUAUUUUGUUUGUUUAAAAUGGCCAAUGAAAAAAUCUCUACGUCGGUUUUCGAGGUCUUCCCAUUAUUAAAGACGGAAAUUUAGUUUAAGUUUAUAUAUUUUGCAAGUUAAAAUGAUCAAUGAGAAAAUAUCUCCGUCAAUUUUGGAGGCCUUUACAUUGUAAAAGACGGAAAGUUAGUUUUAGUUCAUAUAUUUUGUUUGUUUAAAAUGGCCAAUGAAAAAAUCUCUACGUCGGUUUUCGAGGUCUUCCCAUUAUUAAAGACGGAAAUUUAGUUUAAGUUUAUAUAUUUUGCAAGUUAAAAUGAUCAAUGAGAAAAUAUCUCCGUCAAUUUUGGAGGCCUUUACAUUGUAAAAGACGGAAAAUUAGUUUUAGUUCAUAUAUUUUGUUUGUUUAAAAUGGCCAAUGAAAAAAUCUCUACGUCGGUUUUCGAGGUCUUCCCAUUAUUAAAGACGGAAAUUUAGUUUAAGUUUAUAUAUUUUGCAAGUUAAAAUGAUCAAUGAGAAAAUAUCUCCGUCAAUUUUGGAGGCCUUUACAUUGUAAAAGACGGAAAGUUAGUUUUAGUUCAUAUAUUUUGUUUGUUUAAAAUGGCCAAUGAAAAAAUCUCUACGUCGGUUUUCGAGGUCUUCCCAUUAUUAAAGACGGAAAUUUAGUUUAAGUUUAUAUAUUUUGCAAGUUAAAAUGAUCAAUGAGAAAAUAUCUCCGUCAAUUUUGGAGGCCUUUACAUUGUAAAAGACGGAAAGUUAGUUUUAGUUCAUAUAUUUUGUUUGUUUAAAAUGGCCAAUGAAAAAAUCUCUACGUCGGUUUUCGAGGUCUUCCCAUUAUUAAAGACGGAAAUUUAGUUUAAGUUUAUAUAUUUUGCAAGUUAAAAUGAUCAAUGAGAAAAUAUCUCCGUCAAUUUUGGAGGCCUUUACAUUGUAAAAGACGGAAAAUUAGUUUUAGUUCAUAUAUUUUGUUUGUUUAAAAUGGCCAAUGAAAAAAUCUCUACGUCGGUUUUCGAGGUCUUCCCAUUAUUAAAGACGGAAAUUUAGUUUAAGUUUAUAUAUUUUGCAAGUUAAAAUGAUCAAUGAGAAAAUAUCUCCGUCAAUUUUGGAGGCCUUUACAUUGUAAAAGACGGAAAGUUAGUUUUAGUUCAUAUAUUUUGUUUGUUUAAAAUGGCCAAUGAAAAAAUCUCUACGUCGGUUUUCGAGGUCUUCCCAUUAUUAAAGACGGAAAUUUAGUUUAAGUUUAUAUAUUUUGCAAGUUAAAAUGAUCAAUGAGAAAAUAUCUCCGUCAAUUUUGGAGGCCUUUACAUUGUAAAAGACGGAAAGUUAGUUUUAGUUCAUAUAUUUUGUUUGUUUAAAAUGGCCAAUGAAAAAAUCUCUACGUCGGUUUUCGAGGUCUUCCCAUUAUUAAAGACGGAAAUUUAGUUUAAGUUUAUAUAUUUUGCAAGUUAAAAUGAUCAAUGAGAAAAUAUCUCCGUCAAUUUUGGAGGCCUUUACAUUGUAAAAGACGGAAAAUUAGUUUUAGUUCAUAUAUUUUGUUUGUUUAAAAUGGCCAAUGAAAAAAUCUCUACGUCGGUUUUCGAGGUCUUCCCAUUAUUAAAGACGGAAAUUUAGUUUAAGUUUAUAUAUUUUGCAAGUUAAAAUGAUCAAUGAGAAAAUAUCUCCGUCAAUUUUGGAGGCCUUUACAUUGUAAAAGACGGAAAGUUAGUUUUAGUUCAUAUAUUUUGUUUGUUUAAAAUGGCCAAUGAAAAAAUCUCUACGUCGGUUUUCGAGGUCUUCCCAUUAUUAAAGACGGAAAUUUAGUUUAAGUUUAUAUAUUUUGCAAGUUAAAAUGAUCAAUGAGAAAAUAUCUCCGUCAAUUUUGGAGGCCUUUACAUUGUAAAAGACGGAAAGUUAGUUUUAGUUCAUAUAUUUUGUUUGUUUAAAAUGGCCAAUGAAAAAAUCUCUACGUCGGUUUUCGAGGUCUUCCCAUUAUUAAAGACGGAAAUUUAGUUUAAGUUUAUAUAUUUUGCAAGUUAAAAUGAUCAAUGAGAAAAUAUCUCCGUCAAUUUUGGAGGCCUUUACAUUGUAAAAGACGGAAAAUUAGUUUUAGUUCAUAUAUUUUGUUUGUUUAAAAUGGCCAAUGAAAAAAUCUCUACGUCGGUUUUCGAGGUCUUCCCAUUAUUAAAGACGGAAAUUUAGUUUAAGUUUAUAUAUUUUGCAAGUUAAAAUGAUCAAUGAGAAAAUAUCUCCGUCAAUUUUGGAGGCCUUUACAUUGUAAAAGACGGAAAGUUAGUUUUAGUUCAUAUAUUUUGUUUGUUUAAAAUGGCCAAUGAAAAAAUCUCUACGUCGGUUUUCGAGGUCUUCCCAUUAUUAAAGACGGAAAUUUAGUUUAAGUUUAUAUAUUUUGCAAGUUAAAAUGAUCAAUGAGAAAAUAUCUCCGUCAAUUUUGGAGGCCUUUACAUUGUAAAAGACGGAAAGUUAGUUUUAGUUCAUAUAUUUUGUUUGUUUAAAAUGGCCAAUGAAAAAAUCUCUACGUCGGUUUUCGAGGUCUUCCCAUUAUUAAAGACGGAAAUUUAGUUUAAGUUUAUAUAUUUUGCAAGUUAAAAUGAUCAAUGAGAAAAUAUCUCCGUCAAUUUUGGAGGCCUUUACAUUGUAAAAGACGGAAAAUUAGUUUUAGUUCAUAUAUUUUGUUUGUUUAAAAUGGCCAAUGAAAAAAUCUCUACGUCGGUUUUCGAGGUCUUCCCAUUAUUAAAGACGGAAAUUUAGUUUAAGUUUAUAUAUUUUGCAAGUUAAAAUGAUCAAUGAGAAAAUAUCUCCGUCAAUUUUGGAGGCCUUUACAUUGUAAAAGACGGAAAGUUAGUUUUAGUUCAUAUAUUUUGUUUGUUUAAAAUGGCCAAUGAAAAAAUCUCUACGUCGGUUUUCGAGGUCUUCCCAUUAUUAAAGACGGAAAUUUAGUUUAAGUUUAUAUAUUUUGCAAGUUAAAAUGAUCAAUGAGAAAAUAUCUCCGUCAAUUUUGGAGGCCUUUACAUUGUAAAAGACGGAAAGUUAGUUUUAGUUCAUAUAUUUUGUUUGUUUAAAAUGGCCAAUGAAAAAAUCUCUACGUCGGUUUUCGAGGUCUUCCCAUUAUUAAAGACGGAAAUUUAGUUUAAGUUUAUAUAUUUUGCAAGUUAAAAUGAUCAAUGAGAAAAUAUCUCCGUCAAUUUUGGAGGCCUUUACAUUGUAAAAGACGGAAAAUUAGUUUUAGUUCAUAUAUUUUGUUUGUUUAAAAUGGCCAAUGAAAAAAUCUCUACGUCGGUUUUCGAGGUCUUCCCAUUAUUAAAGACGGAAAUUUAGUUUAAGUUUAUAUAUUUUGCAAGUUAAAAUGAUCAAUGAGAAAAUAUCUCCGUCAAUUUUGGAGGCCUUUACAUUGUAAAAGACGGAAAGUUAGUUUUAGUUCAUAUAUUUUGUUUGUUUAAAAUGGCCAAUGAAAAAAUCUCUACGUCGGUUUUCGAGGUCUUCCCAUUAUUAAAGACGGAAAUUUAGUUUAAGUUUAUAUAUUUUGCAAGUUAAAAUGAUCAAUGAGAAAAUAUCUCCGUCAAUUUUGGAGGCCUUUACAUUGUAAAAGACGGAAAGUUAGUUUUAGUUCAUAUAUUUUGUUUGUUUAAAAUGGCCAAUGAAAAAAUCUCUACGUCGGUUUUCGAGGUCUUCCCAUUAUUAAAGACGGAAAUUUAGUUUAAGUUUAUAUAUUUUGCAAGUUAAAAUGAUCAAUGAGAAAAUAUCUCCGUCAAUUUUGGAGGCCUUUACAUUGUAAAAGACGGAAAAUUAGUUUUAGUUCAUAUAUUUUGUUUGUUUAAAAUGGCCAAUGAAAAAAUCUCUACGUCGGUUUUCGAGGUCUUCCCAUUAUUAAAGACGGAAAUUUAGUUUAAGUUUAUAUAUUUUGCAAGUUAAAAUGAUCAAUGAGAAAAUAUCUCCGUCAAUUUUGGAGGCCUUUACAUUGUAAAAGACGGAAAGUUAGUUUUAGUUCAUAUAUUUUGUUUGUUUAAAAUGGCCAAUGAAAAAAUCUCUACGUCGGUUUUCGAGGUCUUCCCAUUAUUAAAGACGGAAAUUUAGUUUAAGUUUAUAUAUUUUGCAAGUUAAAAUGAUCAAUGAGAAAAUAUCUCCGUCAAUUUUGGAGGCCUUUACAUUGUAAAAGACGGAAAGUUAGUUUUAGUUCAUAUAUUUUGUUUGUUUAAAAUGGCCAAUGAAAAAAUCUCUACGUCGGUUUUCGAGGUCUUCCCAUUAUUAAAGACGGAAAUUUAGUUUAAGUUUAUAUAUUUUGCAAGUUAAAAUGAUCAAUGAGAAAAUAUCUCCGUCAAUUUUGGAGGCCUUUACAUUGUAAAAGACGGAAAAUUAGUUUUAGUUCAUAUAUUUUGUUUGUUUAAAAUGGCCAAUGAAAAAAUCUCUACGUCGGUUUUCGAGGUCUUCCCAUUAUUAAAGACGGAAAUUUAGUUUAAGUUUAUAUAUUUUGCAAGUUAAAAUGAUCAAUGAGAAAAUAUCUCCGUCAAUUUUGGAGGCCUUUACAUUGUAAAAGACGGAAAGUUAGUUUUAGUUCAUAUAUUUUGUUUGUUUAAAAUGGCCAAUGAAAAAAUCUCUACGUCGGUUUUCGAGGUCUUCCCAUUAUUAAAGACGGAAAUUUAGUUUAAGUUUAUAUAUUUUGCAAGUUAAAAUGAUCAAUGAGAAAAUAUCUCCGUCAAUUUUGGAGGCCUUUACAUUGUAAAAGACGGAAAGUUAGUUUUAGUUCAUAUAUUUUGUUUGUUUAAAAUGGCCAAUGAAAAAAUCUCUACGUCGGUUUUCGAGGUCUUCCCAUUAUUAAAGACGGAAAUUUAGUUUAAGUUUAUAUAUUUUGCAAGUUAAAAUGAUCAAUGAGAAAAUAUCUCCGUCAAUUUUGGAGGCCUUUACAUUGUAAAAGACGGAAAAUUAGUUUUAGUUCAUAUAUUUUGUUUGUUUAAAAUGGCCAAUGAAAAAAUCUCUACGUCGGUUUUCGAGGUCUUCCCAUUAUUAAAGACGGAAAUUUAGUUUAAGUUUAUAUAUUUUGCAAGUUAAAAUGAUCAAUGAGAAAAUAUCUCCGUCAAUUUUGGAGGCCUUUACAUUGUAAAAGACGGAAAGUUAGUUUUAGUUCAUAUAUUUUGUUUGUUUAAAAUGGCCAAUGAAAAAAUCUCUACGUCGGUUUUCGAGGUCUUCCCAUUAUUAAAGACGGAAAUUUAGUUUAAGUUUAUAUAUUUUGCAAGUUAAAAUGAUCAAUGAGAAAAUAUCUCCGUCAAUUUUGGAGGCCUUUACAUUGUAAAAGACGGAAAGUUAGUUUUAGUUCAUAUAUUUUGUUUGUUUAAAAUGGCCAAUGAAAAAAUCUCUACGUCGGUUUUCGAGGUCUUCCCAUUAUUAAAGACGGAAAUUUAGUUUAAGUUUAUAUAUUUUGCAAGUUAAAAUGAUCAAUGAGAAAAUAUCUCCGUCAAUUUUGGAGGCCUUUACAUUGUAAAAGACGGAAAAUUAGUUUUAGUUCAUAUAUUUUGUUUGUUUAAAAUGGCCAAUGAAAAAAUCUCUACGUCGGUUUUCGAGGUCUUCCCAUUAUUAAAGACGGAAAUUUAGUUUAAGUUUAUAUAUUUUGCAAGUUAAAAUGAUCAAUGAGAAAAUAUCUCCGUCAAUUUUGGAGGCCUUUACAUUGUAAAAGACGGAAAGUUAGUUUUAGUUCAUAUAUUUUGUUUGUUUAAAAUGGCCAAUGAAAAAAUCUCUACGUCGGUUUUCGAGGUCUUCCCAUUAUUAAAGACGGAAAUUUAGUUUAAGUUUAUAUAUUUUGCAAGUUAAAAUGAUCAAUGAGAAAAUAUCUCCGUCAAUUUUGGAGGCCUUUACAUUGUAAAAGACGGAAAGUUAGUUUUAGUUCAUAUAUUUUGUUUGUUUAAAAUGGCCAAUGAAAAAAUCUCUACGUCGGUUUUCGAGGUCUUCCCAUUAUUAAAGACGGAAAUUUAGUUUAAGUUUAUAUAUUUUGCAAGUUAAAAUGAUCAAUGAGAAAAUAUCUCCGUCAAUUUUGGAGGCCUUUACAUUGUAAAAGACGGAAAAUUAGUUUUAGUUCAUAUAUUUUGUUUGUUUAAAAUGGCCAAUGAAAAAAUCUCUACGUCGGUUUUCGAGGUCUUCCCAUUAUUAAAGACGGAAAUUUAGUUUAAGUUUAUAUAUUUUGCAAGUUAAAAUGAUCAAUGAGAAAAUAUCUCCGUCAAUUUUGGAGGCCUUUACAUUGUAAAAGACGGAAAGUUAGUUUUAGUUCAUAUAUUUUGUUUGUUUAAAAUGGCCAAUGAAAAAAUCUCUACGUCGGUUUUCGAGGUCUUCCCAUUAUUAAAGACGGAAAUUUAGUUUAAGUUUAUAUAUUUUGCAAGUUAAAAUGAUCAAUGAGAAAAUAUCUCCGUCAAUUUUGGAGGCCUUUACAUUGUAAAAGACGGAAAGUUAGUUUUAGUUCAUAUAUUUUGUUUGUUUAAAAUGGCCAAUGAAAAAAUCUCUACGUCGGUUUUCGAGGUCUUCCCAUUAUUAAAGACGGAAAUUUAGUUUAAGUUUAUAUAUUUUGCAAGUUAAAAUGAUCAAUGAGAAAAUAUCUCCGUCAAUUUUGGAGGCCUUUACAUUGUAAAAGACGGAAAAUUAGUUUUAGUUCAUAUAUUUUGUUUGUUUAAAAUGGCCAAUGAAAAAAUCUCUACGUCGGUUUUCGAGGUCUUCCCAUUAUUAAAGACGGAAAUUUAGUUUAAGUUUAUAUAUUUUGCAAGUUAAAAUGAUCAAUGAGAAAAUAUCUCCGUCAAUUUUGGAGGCCUUUACAUUGUAAAAGACGGAAAGUUAGUUUUAGUUCAUAUAUUUUGUUUGUUUAAAAUGGCCAAUGAAAAAAUCUCUACGUCGGUUUUCGAGGUCUUCCCAUUAUUAAAGACGGAAAUUUAGUUUAAGUUUAUAUAUUUUGCAAGUUAAAAUGAUCAAUGAGAAAAUAUCUCCGUCAAUUUUGGAGGCCUUUACAUUGUAAAAGACGGAAAGUUAGUUUUAGUUCAUAUAUUUUGUUUGUUUAAAAUGGCCAAUGAAAAAAUCUCUACGUCGGUUUUCGAGGUCUUUGCUGACUUUAUGGUAAAUCAUAGACUCUUUUGGUACCUCUCAUUUAUACUUUUGUGAUACUUGAAAAUUCUCUUACAUGCAUUCAAGAUAAGAAUAAAACUGACCUCAUUAUUUCAUGUGCAUUGUGUGGUGAGAUUUUAGAUCAAAAUUCAAUUGCAUCGCACUGUUGAUCUAGAACUUGGCCUGAAUGUUUUUCGAGGUGAAAUCCUGAGUAAUGUUUGGUAUGGGAAAAGAUUGUAGGCCUUAUUUGAUCCGAUUGUGCCUUUCAAAACCUACCAAAUGACAUUAAUCCCUAGUUUUUCCCACUUUGAGCCUGAAGCCCUUCUUUGAACAACCACAUCUUAGCUAUUACCCCUUUUAGUGCUUAUAUGCACUAUCCUUCUCUUGACCCAACCUUCUUGAAUGCACAAAGAAUGUGGAAAUUAUAAGAGAAGAUCCAUGUUUGAAGUUGCUAAAGGCAAAAGAUACAAAGUCUCCCAAAGUUGAGGAAGCAAAAAAAUAAAAAAAAUAAAAUUUAAAAAACGACUUUUAGAAAAAAAAGAAAAAAAAAGAGGAAGGUGGAAAGAAAAAAAGAAAUACAAAAACACCCCUAUAAGGUCAAUGAAAGACGAGAAGGAAAAAACUUCAUUAAAAAAGGAGAAAACUUCAAAACAAAGGGGUGAAAGAAGAAAAGCUCCAACAAAUAAGAAUACAAAAGAAGUUGAAAAAAAAAAUAGGGGACAAUAGAGAGGAUCGGACGCUAAAGGUGUAUCAAUGAUCAAGAGCAUAAAUUCACUGUGACGCUCAAGAAGGAAUUAAGUCACUCUUAUCCCAAAUAUAUAUCCUACUCGUCCCGAAGCCUACAUUACAAGCCAAUAACAAGUCCUACAUGAUCUCAUUCCAAAUAUUCUCACAUUAGUGGAGAUUUACAUAAGGGCCAAGCAUAUGGUAUCACAGUUGCAUGCAUUGAACAUUCUUGUGAGUGUGAGUGGACUUCAAAAAAUGUCCUAAAAUAAAAUGCUUCAAAUAUGUGUGAAAUAGGACUUUUCUUUUGUGAGGGCACUAAACAUGAGGAUUGUUACAAUUCAAAAUCUUUGUUUGAAGAAAGAUGAAUAAAUCUUGUUGAUACUUAAGUAUGUUUUGAGGUACCACUUGAAGCUGUGGGAGUUACCUUGAAUUCAAUCUUAGUUAAAAAAAAAGAAAAAUAUUUACAUGCGAUCCUAACUCCUGGUACCAAUUGUAGUCAAGAUUUGACUCUUUUUUUUUAUAUUAUUUAUAUUUCAAAAAAAAAAAGGGCAAGCAUCUACUCUUUAAUAUUUUCCAAAAUAUUUAGUUUCUUUCAAUUAAAAAAUAUAAAUAAAAUUGCCUUCCCUUUUUGGAUUGUUCAUUGUAAAAAGUGUCAUUAGGUUAAUCCUAUCAGUGUGAGACACAUAUUUUACCUCAUUGGAUUGUCCGUCCCAAAAAUGUGAUAUAUCUUGUCUUUAAUUUAGGCUUUGAAUAUCGCGGGGAAUAUCAUUUUCGUAUUUAAUCAUGUUCAUAUUGUACAUUUUCUACUGAAGAUCUUGUCUCAGAUUCUUUGCAGCAUUCAUCAUCUACAUGAUUGGAACUACAUUUGACCUUAUUCCUGGCUCAACAGGAUAUGUAGGCGCUACGACGGCUCGGUCAUAUGCCCAGUGUGAUUUUCUUUUCUCCUUAUAUUAAAAACUGGGACAUAAUUUUUGAGAAUAUCUCAAAAAUUCACAAUGAAGGUGCUAUCUCCAACAAGUCAAUAUUGGAGAUCAUUUUGAGAUUUGUCAAAGUUCUAACUGGGACAGAAUUUUUGAGGAAGACCUCAAAAAUUUCAACAAAUACUGUCAGAAGCUUGAUAGUCAACUUCAAAUGAUUCAUCAUCGCUUGAAGUUCAAAGUCAACUUGGAAAUCUCCAGCAUUGUCAUGGCGAGCCAGCAACUCCUCGUACAAAUCCCCAAUAAAACACGAGUUACAAUGAACACAAAGUAUUCAAGAGAAAAAUGAUGAUUGUUCACUUGUGUCAAAGUGAUCAGAUGAAAGCAUCAAGAUGAUGACAUUUUCAAAACACACGAGCCAUCCACCUCGUUACAGUUGGACAAUCAUAGAGUCAUCCACUUCAUUACAGCGGAAAAUCAUUGGGUCAUCCAUCAUUCGCAUUUUCCAAAGCAUUUUCAUUUGCCAAGAGGGCCAUUGCAUUUUUCAUUUGCCAAGAGGGCCAUUGCAUUUUUCAUUUGCCGAGAGGGUCAUUGCAUUUUUCAUUUGCCGAGAGGGUCAUUGCAUUUUUCAUUUGCCGAGAGGGUCAUUGCAUUUUUCAUUUGCCGAGAGGGUCAUUGCAUUUUUCAUUUGCCGAGAGGGUCAUUGCAUUUUUCAUUUGCCGAGAGGGUCAUUGCUCAUUGCAUUUUUUCAUUUGCCGAGAGGGUCAUUGUAUUUUUCAUUUUCCGAGAGGGCCAUUGCAUUUUUCAUUUGCCAAGAGGGCCAUUGCAUUUUUUCAUUUGCCAAGAGGGCCAUUGCAUUUUUCAUUUGCCAAGAGGGCCAUUGCAUUUUUCAUUUGCCAAGAGGGCCAUUGCAUUUUUCAUUUGCCAAGAGGGCCAUUGCAUUUUUCAUUUGCCAAGAGGGCCAUUGCAUUUUUCAUUUGCCAAGAGGGCCAUUGCAUUUUUCAUUUGCCAAGAGGGCCAUUGCAUUUUUCAUUUGCCAAGAGGGCCAUUGCAUUUUUCAUUUGCCAAGAGGGCCAUUGCAUUUUUCAUUUGCCAAGAGGGCCAUUGCAUUUUUCAUUUGCCAAGAGGGCCAUUGCAUUUUUCAUUUGACAAAAGGGCCAUUGCAUUUUUCAUUUGUCGAGAGGGCCAUUGCAUUUUUCAUUUGUCGAGAGGGCCAUUGCAUUUUUCAUUUGACAAAAGGGCCAUUGCAUUUUUCAUUUGUCGAGAGGGCCAUUGCAUUUUUCAUUUGCCAAGAGGGCCAUUGCAUUUUUCAUUUGCCAAGAGGGCCAUUGCAUUUUUCAUUUGCCAAGAGGGCCAUUGCAUUUUUCAUUUGCCAAGAGGGCCAUUGCAUUUUUCAUUUGCCAAGAGGGCCAUUGCAUUUUUCAUUUGCCAAGAGGGCCAUUGCAUUUUUCAUUUGCCAAGAGGGCCAUUGCAUUUUUCAUUUUUCAAGUCGAUGGAAACUUGCGUUUAAAGAUAUUUGCAUUUAAGUCGCAUCCAUUCGGAGGUGAAGGAUGUGCACCCUAUCUAUUCACGUUUAAGUCGAAGAAAACUUGCGUUGAAAGAUAUUUGCAUUUAAGUCGCAUCUAUUCGGAGGUGAAGGAUGUGCACCCUAUCUAUUCCACGUUCAAGUCGGAAGAGACUUGCAUUGAAAGAAUUCUUAUUCGUCCUACCGAUGGACAUACAUUCAAAAUCCUACCGAUGGAUCAUCUUUUUUCAUUCGUCCUACCGAUGGACAUACAUUCAUAUCCUACCAAUGUAUCAUCAUAUUUUUUCAUUUGUCCUACCGAUGGAUAUACAUUCGAAAUCCUACCGAUGGAUCAUAUUUUUUCGUUCGUCCUACCGAUGGAUAUACAUUCAAAAUACUACCGAUGGAUCAUAUUUUUUUCAUUCGUCCUAUCGAUUGACAUACAUUCAAAAUCCUACCGAUGGACAUGUAUUCCAAAUCCUACCGAUGGAUAAUCUUUUUUCAUUCGUCCUACCGAUGGACAUACAAUCCAAACUCUACCGAUGGACAUACAUUUAUAUCCCACCGAGAGAUCAUUUUCAUUCGUCCUAACGAUGGACAUACAUUGAUAUCCUACCGAUGGAUCAUCUUUUUUCAUUAGUCCUAUCGAUGGACAUACAUUCAAAAUCCUAUCGAUUGAUCAUCUUCGUUCGUCAUACCGAUGGACAUGCAUUUUUAUCCUACCAAUGGAUCGUCUUCAUUUGUCGUAUCGUAAUAAAUGCUACCUUUUUCCCUAUAAUUUUGUCUCUACUGAUGAGUUUCAUCUUUGUUUUUUNNNNNNNNNNNNNNNNNNNNNNNNNNNNNNNNNNNNNNNNNNNNNNNNNNNNNNNNNNNNNNNNNNNNNNNNNNNNNNNNNNNNNNNNNNNNNNNNNNNNNNNNNNNNNNNNNNNNNNNNNNNNNNNNNNNNNNNNNNNNNNNNNNNNNNNNNNNNNNNNNNNNNNNNNNNNNNNNNNNNNNNNNNNNNNNNNNNNNNNNNNNNNNNNNNNNNNNNNNNNNNNNNNNNNNNNNNNNNNNNNNNNNNNNNNNNNNNNNNNNNNNNNNNNNNNNNNNNNNNNNNNNNNNNNNNNNNNNNNNNNNNNNNNNNNNNNNNNNNNNNNNNNNNNNNNNNNNNNNNNNNNNNNNNNNNNNNNNNNNNNNNNNNNNNNNNNNNNNNNNNNNNNNNNNNNNNNNNNNNNNNNNNNNNNNNNNNNNNNGAUCAUUUUCAUUCGUCCUAACGAUGGACAUACAUUGAUAUCCUACCGAUGGAUCAUCUUUUUUCAUUAGUCCUAUCGAUGGACAUACAUUCAAAAUCCUAUCGAUUGAUCAUCUUCGUUCGUCAUACCGAUGGACAUGCAUUUUUAUCCUACCAAUGGAUCAUCUUCAUUUGUCGUAUCGUAGGAGAUGCUAAAUUUUUCUCUGUAAUUUUGUCUCUACUAAUGAGUUUCAUCUUUGUUUUUUUUGAGAACAUCUAAGAGGAUGCAUUCUCAGUUGAGCCACUGGUGCAGAUUACUUCAACAAGGACGCAACACAGCGUAGAAACCUUUAGAGGCGAGUCCGGGAUCGACUUCCACCGCAUUCCAACCACUUUUAUAUAAAGGUCAUGUGUUCGGCCAAAAUCGGGUUUGUCAAUUUUCGUUGUCCACGAUUUCUUUCAUCAAUCAUAUCCAACGAAAGGGACAGCUGUUGACACCCAAUUUUGGCCUAACAUUUUCUAAAUUCGUAACUUUUAAGUUUUAUUUAUUUAAUAGUUCAAAAUAAUUUUUUUUAUAGUUUUAAAUAAGUUUAUCGAUAACUAUCCUUAUUUAUCAAAAUUUAUGAUUUUUUAUCAGUUAAGUUUAAAAUUGCAUUUUUACAUAUCAUUAGUUGCGUUAAUUAUAUAUUUUUUAAUAUUCAUUUCAUUUGUUACAUUUGUUAAUAUUCAUUUUGAUAUAUUUGCACAAUAUAAAAAUUCAUUUAAAAUUUAUAUAUACAGAUUGAUCGAUGAAUUUGGGCCACAAUCUCAGGCCCAUGAUUUGAGCCCAUUGUAUUACAAUUCCCUAUUUAAGUAAAUUUUAGUUCAAAAGUAAGGGGGUGGAUAAUAUUUUUAGGUUUAGGACUUUUCUUCUAUUCUCAUUCCAGCCGCCCAAGGCUGAAGCCGCCACCACCCAAUGCCUUCUCCACACCAGAAACCCACCAAAAUCAAACCAAAACUCCACUCCCUUUUACCACUUAUGAACCACCAUGGCUCCACAGUGAACCGGUGAGCUCAAGGCUCACACAACCGAACAAAAACCCCCCUUUCUUCCCUCUCCGUUUCACUGCUCCGAACUCCGAGCUCACACCAUCACUGACCGGAGAAGAACACCAAACAGCCAGCAAACUCCAAACUCGCCUGAAACCAGCAACCAUCACCCACUUUCCAGCCAGCAAAGAAGAUCCAAGACGCCGCUAGACCCCUUCCCCUUUUCCCUUUUUCGAUUUUCUAUUUCUUUUGCAGGCCAACCUUCUCCGAACAACUCCGGCAAACGAGCAACAAACAACUCCAAAACGGUGACAAACCGGCGAGCUCAAGCUUCUAAAGCUCCAUCUCCGUCAAUCUCCGACAACUAGGCGCUACCGUGGCCUCCUCCUUUUGCCCGUUUGGUAUAUUUUCAGCCUUUAUUAUUAUUAAUUUGUGGAUAAAUGUAUAUAUAAAUGUUUGCUUUUAAAGUUUGCUAGGCUGAUAUUGUUUGAUUAUUUAUUUUUAUUUUGGGUGUAGUUUUGUUAAUGAUGAAUUUUGUUAUUGUUUUGCUUUUUUUUUGAGGAAGAAUCUGUUCUAUUUUUGACGGUGUGUUUGAUUAUUUUUAUUCAUUUCGCUAUUAUUAUUAUUAGUAGUAUUAUUAUUAUUAUUAUUAUGUGUUUGGAUUCUAUUAUUUAGUGUUAUUUUAUUGUCAUUUAUUAUUGGUUGUUUUUAAUUUUGUGUUUGGGAUUAAUUACGUUCAGUCUACUGUUAGUUAAUUGUUUUCCUCAUUAUUAUUGUUAUUAACUUUAUUCACAUUUUGGUAUUCUUCACUUUACUGGUCAACUAGUUAUAUUGACGUGUGCUUAUUGCUAUUUAGUUAUUGUUUUGAUGUUUUGUUAUUUUUUAAAUGGUCAUAGUUUUAAAAUGUUGUAUUUGUCUUAUAUCAUUUCUUGUUGGUUUCAUAUGAGUUUAGGAUAUAUUUUGCAAGUUUAAAUUGACCAAUGAAAAAAUCUCUCCGUCGAUUUUGGAGGCCUCCACAUUAUAAAAGAUGGAAAUUUAGUUUAAGUUUAUAUAUUUUGCAAGUUAAAAUGAUCAAUGAGAAAAUAUCUCCGUCAAUUUUGGAGGCCUUUACAUUGUAAAAGACGGAAAGUUAGUUUUAGUUCAUAUAUUUUGUUUGUUUAAAAUGGCCAAUGAAAAAAUCUCUCCGUCGAUUUUGGAGGCCUCCACAUUAUAAAAGAUGGAAAUUUAGUUUAAGUUUAUAUAUUUUGCAAGUUAAAAUGAUCAAUGAGAAAAUAUCUCCGUCAAUUUUGGAGGCCUUUACAUUGUAAAAGACGGAAAGUUAGUUUUAGUUCAUAUAUUUUGUUUGUUUAAAAUGGCCAAUGAAAAAAUCUCUCCGUCGAUUUUGGAGGCCUCCACAUUAUAAAAGAUGAAAAUUUAGUUUAAGUUUAUAUAUUUUGCAAGUUAAAAUGAUCAAUGAGAAAAUAUCUCCGUCAAUUUUGGAGGCCUUUACAUUGUAAAAGACGGAAAAUUAGUUUUAGUUCAUAUAUUUUGUUUGUUUAAAAUGGCCAAUGAAAAAAUCUCUCCGUCGAUUUUGGAGGCCUCCACAUUAUAAAAGAUGGAAAUUUAGUUUAAGUUUAUAUAUUUUGCAAGUUAAAAUGAUCAAUGAGAAAAUAUCUCCGUCAAUUUUGGAGGCCUUUACAUUGUAAAAGACGGAAAAUUAGUUUUAGUUCAUAUAUUUUGUUUGUUUAAAAUGGCCAAUGAAAAAAUCUCUCCGUCGAUUUUGGAGGCCUCCACAUUAUAAAAGAUGGAAAUUUAGUUUAAGUUUAUAUAUUUUGCAAGUUAAAAUGAUCAAUGAGAAAAUAUCUCCGUCAAUUUUGGAGGCCUUUACAUUGUAAAAGACGGAAAGUUAGUUUUAGUUCAUAUAUUUUGUUUGUUUAAAAUGGCCAAUGAAAAAAUCUCUCCGUCGAUUUUGGAGGCCUCCACAUUAUAAAAGAUGGAAAUUUAGUUUAAGUUUAUAUAUUUUGCAAGUUAAAAUGAUCAAUGAGAAAAUAUCUCCGUCAAUUUUGGAGGCCUUUACAUUGUAAAAGACGGAAAGUUAGUUUUAGUUCAUAUAUUUUGUUUGUUUAAAAUGGCCAAUGAAAAAAUCUCUCCGUCGAUUUUGGAGGCCUCCACAUUAUAAAAGAUGGAAAUUUAGUUUAAGUUUAUAUAUUUUGCAAGUUAAAAUGAUCAAUGAGAAAAUAUCUCCGUCAAUUUUGGAGGCCUUUACAUUGUAAAAGACGGAAAGUUAGUUUUAGUUCAUAUAUUUUGUUUGUUUAAAAUGGCCAAUGAAAAAAUCUCUCCGUCGAUUUUGGAGGCCUCCACAUUAUAAAAGAUGAAAAUUUAGUUUAAGUUUAUAUAUUUUGCAAGUUAAAAUGAUCAAUGAGAAAAUAUCUCCGUCAAUUUUGGAGGCCUUUACAUUGUAAAAGACGGAAAGUUAGUUUUAGUUCAUAUAUUUUGUUUGUUUAAAAUGGCCAAUGAAAAAAUCUCUCCGUCGAUUUUGGAGGUCUCUCCAUUGUUAAAAGAGAGAAAUUUAGUUUAAGAUUAUAUAUUUUGUAUGCUAAAAUGGCCGAUAAAGAAAUUACCGUCGAUUUCCAAGGCCUCCCAUUUUAAUAAGAUAUGUUUUUAUUUCUAAGUUAUUAUUUAUUUCAUUUAUUUUUAUUCGUAAUUAUUUACCACUAACACUUUUAUUAAGUGUCUUUACAGGUACCCCGUAGUCGCUUCUUAUCGAAGCCAUUUGAAUAAAGUUCGAAUACUAUAUUCAUUAUUAUGUAUGUUGUUGAUGAUAUGCAAAUGUUAUGUUGUUUCUCAUAUUGCUUGUUUACUUUAUCACUUGUGUAUAUUGCAUGUUUGUUAUACUUAUAUACUAUUUUCAUCUCCUCCUCAAUUUGAAAAAAUAAAUUCAGUCGGGACCCACAGUUGUGGAUUUCGAAGAAUGCCUAACUUCUUCCCUUCGAAAUAACCUGAACCCCUUACUUAGAAUCUAAUGGUUUCGUAGAUCAAUUAAUGGUUUCCUAGUUUUUUUUUAAAAUUAGGUGGCGACUCCUUUUAAAAUUUAUUUAUUCUUAAAAUUAUUUUAAAAUUGAAUCAAUUGAUUAUUUUUUAGUCACCGCGACGUUUCGCCCUAUUCAAAUAGAGUAGGGAUGUAAAUA